ACACGGACCAAGGAGUCUUGAAUGUGCGCGAGUCAAAGGGCUGGCUAAACCCCAAGGCGAAACGAAAGUGAUGUUGUUGCUCUUCUUCUUCUUUUUGGAGGAGAGAGCACGCACUAGGGCUGAUCCGGUUCGGGGCGCGAGUUAGAGGGGGAUUCCUCCUUCGAAUCUCUUUCCCCGAUUCGUCACCUUAAUAUGUGGACGGCGCAAGCCCGGGGCCCGCACGUUGCUCCUCCCCGUCGCUAAUGCCUGGCCGUUGUUGCGCUCGUUUCGUGUACAAAACAAUAUGACGGAGGGGAAAGGGAGCCCCGCGCGUUUCUAAGGUCCACUGACUUUGCUUAGCGUUCCUUAGCCGCGGUUUUCUCCUUUUUCCAUUUCCGCCUGUAAAAAUAAGCGGGCGAGCGUAAUGCGGUUCGCAGACGUGGGACGGGCCGCGGGUACCUUGAGCGCACAUUCUAGUACCCGAAAGAUGGUGAUCUAUGCGUGGCGAGGAUGAAGCCAGGGGAAACUCUGGUGGAGGUCCGAAGCGAUUCUGACGUGCAAAUCGAUCGUCGGAGCUGCGUAUAGGGGCGAAAGACCUAUCGAACCAUCUAGUAGCU
rnacentral:rRNA from 1 species